rnacentral:rRNA from 1 species
GCAUAUCAAUAAGCGGAGGAAAAGAAACUAACAAGGAUUCCCCUAGUAACGGCGAGUGAAGCGGGAAAAGCUCAAAUUUGUAAUCUGGCGCCUUUGGCGUCCGAGUUGUAAUCUCGAGAAGUAUUUUCCGCGCUGGACCGCACAUAAGUCUGUUGGAAUACAGCGUCAUAGUGGUGAGAACCCCGUAUAGGGUGCGGAUGCCCAGUGCUUUGUGAUAUACUUUCGAAGAGUCGAGUUGUUUGGGAAUGCAGCUCAAAUUGGGUGGUAAAUUCCAUCUAAAGCUAAAUAUUGGCGAGAGACCGAUAGCGAACAAGUACCGUGAGGGAAAGAUGAAAAGCACUUUGGAAAGAGAGUUAACAGUACGUGAAAUUGUUGGAAGGGAAACGCUUGAAGUCAGACUUGCAUUUUGGAGUUCAGCCGCAAGGUGUAUUCUUCAAUUCGCAGGCCAGCAUCAGUUUUUGGGGGUGGAAAAGCGUGGUUUGAAGGUAGCAGUCUCGGCUGUGUUAUAGCUUUCCACUGGAUUCACUUUUGGGGACUGAGGAACGCAGUACGCUUUUUGCAAGAUUCUCGGAUCUUUCGUACUUAGGAUGCUGGUGGAAUGGCUUUAAACGACCCGUCUUGAAACACGGAC